UGUCGUCAGCUCGUGUCGUGAGAUGUUGGGUUAAGUCCCGCAACGAGCGCAACCCUUACUGUUAGUUGCUACGCAAGAGCACUCUAGCAGGACUGCCGUUGACAAAACGGAGGAAGGUGGGGACGACGUCAAAUCAUCAUGCCCCUUAUGACCUGGGCUACACACGUACUACAAUGGCCGUUAACAGAGAGAAGCGAUACCGCGAGGUGGAGCGAACCUCAAAAAGCGGUCUCAGUUCGGAUUGCAGGCUGAAACCCGCCUGCAUGAAGUUGGAAUUGCUAGUAAUCGCGGAUCAUAAUGCCGCGGUGAAUACGUUCCCGGGA
rnacentral:rRNA from 1 species